CUGAACUUAACAACCGAACAGCAUUAUAUAUAAGAUCAGCACACAAGUGAACUGGAAAUCAUUUUAUUCGGAUUGUUGGUACCCUCAGUGUAAAAUUAUUCCUUAUUGGUUGGGGAUUUGGAGACGUAGUAUCUGGUUGAUGAAGGAUAUUUUUUAUCUCCUAAGCUCCACACAUUCUCUUCCAUCGAACACAACCGGCACGGUCAAGUGGUGUAGCAGUUGACGGUCGACAGCUAAAAUCAAGGCACCGCCAUAAUUUAGGCGGAAAGACCACGGCUCUUCCAUCUACACCAGGUUUGUUUGUUUCAGCCCUAACAUGUUUAGUCAUAUAGUUGUCGACAAACCCUGACAUGAUUCUGCUACAACACAGAAGGAUUGGGAAAAUAUUAAAUUUGGUGUUGAAGACGGUGUUGAUUUCUAUGAUGUUUCGUUCGUGAAGGAUGCCAAUGUUAUUCAUGAACUCAAGGACUUCCGGAAAAGUGCUAAUGCGGAUAUACAUUUCAUUCUUGAAAUUGAGAGGGCUGAUUCAACUCCAAACCUGUGGUCAAUUAUUGCUGCUUCGGAUGGGAUCAUACGUGUGGCGUCGACUAAGACCGUAGUCUGAUCAUACAAGGCCUUAUUGAUUGUUGAUUCUACUUCAAUAGUCUGAUAUAUUCGAGGGGCAGCCAAGAUCGGGCAAGAGGACGGUGUUUUGAUUGUUUCGACAGAAAUUCUACUGGCUGAAGCUCAAACACCGAAGCCCUAUCCCAGUGUUGAAAAUUUCAAUCAACCCGUAGCUAAAGCUAGAAUCAAGUAGAGGAGUGGCUACUCUGAAAACUCUUGUUCUGAUCACUUCCAGGUAAUUGGCUAGGAUUCGUAUCGUCCCUUUCCAGCUAUGACGGAUGGUAUACUGCAUACUAAUGAGGAUAGAUGAUUGAUGUUGAUGAACUAUUUUAGAUAGUGACACCGAAGUGUUAUUCUAUGGAUAGCCUUCAGAUGUUCUUUUUCAUUUUUCCUGUGCAAAGAUAUAUAUUAACGAACAAACAGUGCGUACAUGUUACCCUUUUGUCGGCGAAGGCGUAUUAGCAUGCCUAGCUGCCAAGUAUAAAUAGUAUGUGCAUCACUCA